CCACACUUUAUCUGCAGUGAGGAUUGCUUUGCAUUUGUUAAAGUUGGAUUCAAUCAAGUUUCAUCAAUCAACAGGUUGCUGAUAAAUACAGCACAGCAUUGCCAUGAGGUGGUGAGCUGGCAAGAACUGUCUGAUGCCAACUGUAAAACCCUGCUUCAGGUCGAACCUGCUUCUAACUCAUCAAGAGAGAGGCACCAGCGCAGAUGUGGCUGUGGCUUUGGGAGGCAGAGGAUAAGCAAGAAGAUUGGCAGCAAGGAUGCCCUUGGCCACAAACAGUUUUGCUUGAGAAAAGGAAAAAUGAAUAUUGAGCUGUAGAGAGCUCAGCUCCGUGCAGAGCAGCCUGGAGAAAAGGAGCCUCAAACACAGGACAAGGACAAAGGCCAAAGAAAGCCACUUCAGCCUCGGAACUGGCUGCUUCUGCUUAAAAUAGCCCAAACAGUUCAGCAGUCUCUGCUUCUGCCUCCACUUACCCACUUUUAGACUUGACUGUAGGACAGCUGGAACAAAAGUAAAUAAAAUAAGUUUAAAUCCUUGCAA